AGUGGGGAAUAUUGCACAAUGGGGGAAACCCUGAUGCAGCAACGCCGCGUGGAGGAUGACACAUUUCGGUGCGUAAACUCCUUUUAUAUAGGAAGAUAAUGACGGUACUAUAUGAAUAAGCGCCGGCUAACUCCGUGCCAGCAGCCGCGGUAAUACGGAGGGCGCAAGCGUUACUCGGAAUCACUGGGCGUAAAGAGCGUGUAGGCGGGUUAAUAAGUCAGAUGUGAAAGCCUAUGGCUCAACCAUAGAACUGCAUUUGAAACUGUUAACCUAGAAUAUGGGAGAGGUAGAUGGAAUUUCUGGUGUAGGGGUAAAAUCCGUAGAGAUCAGAAGGAAUACCGAUUGCGAAGGCGAUCUACUGGAACAUUAUUGACGCUGAGACGCGAAAGCGUGGGGAGCAAA
rnacentral:rRNA from 1 species